GACGAACGCUGGCGGCGUGCUUAACACAUGCAAGUCGAACGGAAAGGCCCUGCUUUUGUGGGGUGCUCGAGUGGCGAACGGGUGAGUAACACGUGAGUAACCUGCCCUUGACUUUGGGAUAACUUCAGGAAACUGGGGCUAAUACCGGAUAGGAGCUCCUGCUGCAUGGUGGGGGUUGGAAAGUUUCGGCGGUUGGGGAUGGACUCGCGGCUUAUCAGCUUGUUGGUGGGGUAGUGGCUUACCAAGGCUUUGACGGGUAGCCGGCCUGAGAGGGUGACCGGCAACAUUGGAAUGGGAUUACGCCCAAAACUCUACGGGGGGGAACAGGUGGGAAUAUUGCACAAUGGGCGGAAGCCUGAUGCAGCAACGCCGCGUGCGGGAUGACGGCCUUCGGGUUGUAAACCGCUUUCGCCUGUGACGAAGCGUGAGUGACGGUAAUGGGUAAAGAAGCACCGGCUAACUACGUG
rnacentral:rRNA from 1 species